rnacentral:rRNA from 1 species
UGGUAGUNCACGCCGUAAACGAUGAGUGCUAGGUGUUAGGCCCUUUCCGGGGCUUAGUGCCGGAGCUAACGCAAUAAGCACUCCGCCUGGGGAGUACGACCGCAAGGUUGAAACUCAAAGGAAUUGACGGGGGCCCGCACAAGCGGUGGAGCAUGUGGUUUAAUUCGAAGCAACGCGAAGAACCUUACCAGGUCUUGACAUCCCGAUGCUAUUCUUAGAGAUAGGAAGUUACUUCGGUACAUCGGAGACAGGUGGUGCAUGGUUGUCGUCAGCUCGUGUCGUGAGAUGUUGGGUUAAGUCCCGCAACGAGCGCAACCCUUAUUGUUAGUUGCCAUCAUUAAGUUGGGCACUCUAGCGAGACUGCCGGUAAUAAACCGGAGGAAGGUGGGGAUGACGUCAAAUCAUCAUGCCCCUUAUGACCUGGGCUACACACGUGCUACAAUGGUCGGUACAACGAGUUGCGAGCCGGUGACGGCAAGCUAAUCUCUGAAAGCCGAUCUCAGUUCGGAUUGGAGGCUGCAACUCGCCUCCAUGAAGUCGGAAUCGCUAGUAAUCGCGGAUCAGCACGCCGCGGUGAAUACGUUCCCGGGCCUUGUACACACCGCCCGUCACACCACGAGAGUUUGUAACACCCGAAGUCGGUGAGGUAACCUUUUAGGGGC